ACCACCUACUACAUUGAAUACACAAUUCUCAUCUGAUUUUGGAAGCUAAACAGAGUCAGGCCUGGUUAUUAUUUGGAUGGGAGAUCAUGAGGAAAUAUUGGGGAUCUCCAGGUA
rnacentral:rRNA from 1 species